AAAAAAGAAAUAGUUAAAAAAAAAACAAUGAAUUAAUUACUAAACAAAUUAUUUUGGUGAAAUCGAAAACUGACGAAGCUGUUGAAAGACCUGUAGAAUCAGAUGAAUGUAAAGUUGACAAAAACAAAUCAGUUCCGAGCAAAGAAAUUCAGUCAUUGACUCCACCUGACAAUACAUUGGCUCUGACUGACAAAGCAAUUGAGUUACCAUUAACAGUUUACGAAUCUAGCUCAUCACAACAUGGCACUGUACCAUUUGAAAUGAAAACAAAAUCAUCUGAUGAUCCAACUACUUCAAAAUACUCCAUCAAAUCAUAGAUCUGUCGAAUUGGAGAAAAAAACAGGCCAUCCUCAAGUCGGUUUUACUCGUGUAUCUGAUAAUAGUAUUCAUUUAGGACAAGGUGUUUAUGUAUCCAAAAAUUCAUAUCUGACUGCAGCAAGUAGGUCUAAAACUCCAUCACAAUUUGUUCGGAAAAUGAUCAUGGCUGUAUUCUCACCAAAAGAAUUACAAGACAGUAGUGUUCACAGAGCCAAA